rnacentral:rRNA from 1 species
GACGAACGCUGGCGGCGUGCUUAACACAUGCAAGUCGAACGGAAAGGCCUGCUUUCCCUUGUGGAUUGCGGGUACUCGAGUGGCGAACGGGUGAGUAACACGUGAGUGAUCUGCCCCCAACUUGGGUAUAAGCCUGGGAAACUGGGUCUAAUUCCCGAUCGGACUGCAGGGUGGUGCCUGUGGUGGAAAACGAUUUUCUAGUGGUUGGGGAUGAGCUCGCGGCCUAUCAGCUUGUUGGUGGGGUAAUGGCCUACCAAGGCGGCGACGGGUAGCCGGCCUGAGAGGGUGGACGGCCACAUUGGGACUGAGAAACGGCCCAGACUCCGACGGGAGGCAGCAGUGGGGAAUAGUGCAAAAUGGGCGGAAGCCUGAUGCAGCGACGCCGCGUGGGGGAUGACGGCCUUCGGGUUGUAAACUCCUUUCGACCGCGAGGAAGCCACCUGGUUGGAAGGGUGGUGACGGUAGUGGUAGAAGAAGCACCGGCUAACUACGUG